CAAAGCGUAGCUUAUAAUAAAGUAUCUAGUUUACACCUAGAAGAUUUCAGACUAACUGACCGCUUUGA
rnacentral:tRNA from 1 species